rnacentral:rRNA from 1 species
GACGAACGCUGGCGGCGUGCUUAACACAUGCAAGUCGAACGAAGAGCGAUGGAAGCUUGCUUCUAUCAAUCUUAGUGGCGAACGGGUGAGUAACGCGUAAUCAACCUGCCCUUCAGAGGGGGACAACAGUUGGAAACGACUGCUAAUACCGCAUACGAUCUAAUCUCGGCAUCGAGGAUAGAUGAAAGGUGGCCUCUACAUGUAAGCUAUCACUGAAGGAGGGGAUUGCGUCUGAUUAGCUAGUUGGAGGGGUAACGGCCCACCAAGGCGAUGAUCAGUAGCCGGUCUGAGAGGAUGAACGGCCAAAUUGGGACUGAGACACGGCCCAGACUCCUACGGGAGGCAGCAGUGGGGAAUCUUCCGCAAUGGACGAAAGUCUGACGGAGCAACGCCGCGUGAGUGAUGACGGCCUUCGGGUUGUAAAGCUCUGUUAAUCGGGACGAAAGGCCUUCUUGCGAAUAGUGAGAAGGAUUGACGGUACCGGAAGAGAAAGCCACGGCUAACUACGUG